GAUAAUAGACAUCCGUUAUGCGAAUGUACACGUGCGGAUGAUAGUCGUUUCUUGAUGUUGAUAAUAAACAUCCGUUAUGCGAAUGAACAUUUACUGAUUAAAGUCUCAUAUUUGUUUCACUCAUCUGAGCAAAUCGUAUAUAAAUUGAGCAAAUUCUAUUCAAAUAUUCACUACACGUUUUUAAAAGAUGCACUGCGUACACUUUUUUGUUCUCGCGUUCUUGGGUGUAGCAAGUACUACUCCAAUAAAAAAUAAUCUCAUAGAUGAUUUGGGAAAGGCUGCUGAAGAGACCGAGUUACUUCUCAAACGUGAAAGAUUACAAGGAUUGAUGGAAGUUACACAAAAAGUUAUUGACAGUCAGCGUAUACAGCAAAAGGAUGUUGCAAAGUGGCAAGCAUAUCAUGAUAAGUUGGCUUUUUGUAUUGAAACUUGGGCUAAAAAUGGCCAAACCGUUGACUGCAGAGAUUACCUCCCAGACGAAAUUGAGCCAAUGCUGGAGACUCCUGGAGAAAUAUACUAUUAUACAAAUGGCACAUUCAUUGCUAUCCUGUCUAAAUAUUUGGAAUUUGAAGGACAAAUGAAUGCUGAAUUAAUAACUAAAGCCGAGCAAAUUAUUCAUGCAUCUAGGGAAGCUGGGUAUACUGAUAAAGAUUUCGAUUUAUUGAAUAAUAUAUCUAAAUCAUCUUUAAAACGCAAAUCAGCUGAAUUAUUGAGAUAUAUAAAGUAUAACAUUAUUAAUAACCAUUAA